rnacentral:lncRNA from 1 species
AAUUAUCAAUAUUUUAUUAUUAAUUAAUUUAAAGCAAAAAAAAAUAUUUAGGGUAAGGUGUUAAAGUAUGUAGAUAAUAUUUUGUAUAGAAUCAAGAAGCUUUGCGUUUACUGUUAGAAGACAUUAACAUAAUAUAAAAAAAUAGCUAUAUGGUUUUAAUUGAAUUCUAAAAACAAUUUUAAAUUUUUGUUAUAAAUUAUUAAUUUUGUUUAUUUUAAAAAAUGAUAUUAACCAGUGGUUAAACUUUUUGAAAGGUAUGCUAACAACUAGGCAGGCCAAAAAAAUGUUUAACCGGUCAAUAUAUAAUCUAUUAUAGGUAGUUAUUACAAAAAAAAUUGUUCUCGUUGCGCUCGGAAAUUAAACUAUGUAUUUUCAGUCUAAUGAUCUAAUAUUAUACCAAUAUUUUAUACCUAAUGAAUCCUAAGUUGGUACAUAGAUUAUUUUAAUAAUAAAUCCUGAAAUCUUUAGUCGCACAUAAAUUAUUUAAUAUAAACCAAAAAUAUAAAUAUUUUGAUAAAAAAAUAAUAACAUAAUAAUAAUACAUAUUAUCAAAAAUAAUUAAUUAAUGUUUACUAUCGGCAUAAUAGGUAUCUCCUGUCUUUCAUUUUUGUAAAAUCACCAAUUGCAUAAUUCAAAUUGAUUUGUUUUGCUACUUCAGUUUUAAUUCUAAGAACCAUUAAAUCAUUUAAUCUUUCAGCACCAAUUAAUGUCCUCAAGAAAUUGUUUAUCAAUUUUGGUGAAGAAAGAAACGUUCACUUGAUGCAGUUGUCACUGGUAAUGUUAACAUUAUAGACAAUAUUUUUGUGAUUUCAGGAAAUGCAAACGUCUUUCUGUUAUCAGCGAUAAUGUCCCGGGCUGUCAGUUACGUGACGCGUUUCUAGCAAGUUGUUAGAAAUUAAAAAUUUUUGUUUAAUAAAUACAAAUUUAAUAAUUAUAAUAUUCUAAUCGGUACAUAUUUAAUGAAUGUAAUGAUUAUAAUAGUAUGCGUUUAUGACCUACCUAUAUUAAUUUUUCAUUAUUUUCUAUCAUAGAUCAUAAUGUUUUAAUGGUUCUAUUCUUCCUAGUUGCUGUUCAAAAGUAUCAGUUGACCUCUAUCCAUAUAUAUUUGUAGCGCCUUUCGUUUUGCCAAUGACUUUGAGACUUCCCUACAAUCAUUUUCAUUUAGGAUACAGUGUUAUACAGUUCCUAGAUAUUGUCAAGUGUCAAUUAAUAUAAAUACAUAUAUUUAAAAGUAAUAUAGUGGUGUCAAAAUAGAUAAUAUAAAUAAUUAUUAUUUUAGGCGAAUCGGUUUUGAAUAACAGACACCAAAAGUGAAAAGGACUCUCUGGUGAUAUCUAAGAUGAAACGAAACAAGAAUUCGAUACGUAAAUGAUCAAACACUAGUGAGUAUUGUAUAUUAAUUAUAAUUUUAUAUAUCAAAAAAUUAUAGCUAUAACACUCAUGCGACCAAAUUAUAAUUGUCUCACAUGGUUCUAAUAUUUUAGAAGAUCCACGGCACAAAAGUAUGCGAGACUCUCGUAUUGGUACAAUGGAUUGGAAACCGAAUAGUGGAAAGAAAUUAGAUUUCAACUUUUUAUAUUAAAAUGUCUGGCUCAUGUGGUAAUAAUGCGUAUUUUAAUCGUAAAUGUCUGUUAUCGAAAUAUUUAAUACAAAUUAAAAACUUUUAAAAUACAUAAUUCGAUUAAUUUUGAAUAGCAUAGCGGUUAGUCUUAUUAAACAUCACUCUGACUUUGUCUGAUAAUAAUGGAUAAUCUAAAAUUGUGUAGUAGUAAUUUUUAAUAUGAUCAGUAACUUUCUAAUGUAUAAUUUCACCAUAUUUUAUACAAAUUAAAUACAUAUUGACACAGUUUUUGUUUGAAUUUAUAUAUUAUAUUAGUUUU